CAGGGCCCGUUCCACGCGCUGCCGCCGCCUCUAGGGCCCUGACCCCUCCCGGGCACACCGGGCCCGUCCCCGGAGGCGAUGCUGGCCCCGGGUCUGCCCUGCGGUUCCCCCUCCCGCGCUGCUUCCUGCCCGCAGUAGGGGCCGCUCCUCACCGCGCAGGCCCCGCUCAGAGGCGCCGCAGAGCCGGAGAGGCCCCCGCGGCUGGAGAGGCCCUGCCGCCCCCCAGAUGCCCCCGGGGCCCUGCCCGGUUCUUCCCUUCCCAGCCCCGACGCCUCUGGCUUCACCUCUUCCCUUCAUUUCACGGAUCCGCUUAUUUCAGGGGAGCUCCAGGAGGGCAGGGAUUUUGUCCGUUUCUUUCACUUUUGGAUCUGCAGAGCCCAGGACAGCACCUGGCCCGUAGUAGGUGCCGCAAGAAACGCUUGUUGAAGGAAGGAAGGAACGAAGCCACGAGCAUUGCAGGAGGAUUAAAUGAAAGAUCAAUUCACCGCACCUCACGGUAAUAGGCACCCUGUUUCCUCCCAGCCCCGAGAUUGGAGAGUUUGUUUUCAUCCUCCUGUUGUCUGAACACAGCACAGAGCAAUCCUGAGACACAGAGCAACGUGCCUUUCAAAAUUUUUAAUAAACAUGGAAUCUUGCUAUGCUGGCCAGGCUGGUCUUGAACUGCUAGCCUCAAGCGAUCCUCCCUCCUUGGCCUCUCAAAAUGUUGGGAUUAUAGGCGUGAACCACUGUAACCAGCCUCAAGACAGGCUUUCUAAGACACAAGAUUCCGCGUGUCAACUGUACCCAUGGAAACCAUUCCUUAGUUUAUUGUCACCGCCAUUCCUAACUCUGAUGUGAAAAUCCCUGCGUUCAUCAACAUAACGCGGUUAGGGUCACACUCAUCACGGGGCCCCCAUUGCCUCUGGCGCACCCCACAACUGACAUCUGCGGGGCCUUCCCGCUAGGCUUCGAGUUUCAGCUUCCGCACCAGGCCUGCCUUUCUGCAGGGGCCAGGGUGGGGGUCCUGCGCUGAUGGACCCUCUGAACCCCCACUGCUGCAGAGGGGCUGUUCCUUCCGUUACAUCCCUUGUGCCCGAAUCCACCCUGUGUCUUCUCUUUUCUCAGCAGGACAUUUUAAAAGCCCAGACCCCUUCCUUGCAGAGCAAAUGUCCAGGCUUCGGAGGUCACUGUCACAUCCCAAGAACCCCCUUCACCAGGGGCCACUCUUGAGACUGGGCUGAAGCCCCCUGGAGAGAACCACAACACCCUGGAAGGCAAGAAAUGGGGAGCUGCAUCCGCAUCCACAGGGUCCCACCAGCCCGGAACAUCCCCGCUGGCCUGGAAUUCCACCCCACACACCCUGCUGAUCCUGGGCCCGUCCCUGUGGCCAGGAGAUGGAGUUCAGGGACUUCGCAGGCCUGGGCCACGCAACUGCCCUAGGAGCCUGGCAUCAGGGAGCGGUGCUGUGUGCACCCCCAGGUCCACUGAGAGUAGGGAGGGGGCUUCCCCACGGGUAGGUGGGGAUGGAGGCUGGUCUGAAGAUCAGGAGACGGAGCCCCACCCCGCUUCGCAGGUGAGCAACAAAAGCUCUGAACGGUCAACUGAACUACUUAGGGCGACUGGCGGGAAUCUAACCAGGUCUGCCUGACUGUGUGUCUGCCUGUGUGUCUCUGCUGUCUCUCUAUCUGUCUGUCUGUCUGCCUGUCCAUGUGUGUCUGUCUCUCAUCUGUCCACCUAUCUGCCUGUCUGUGUGUCUGUCCGUCCAUCUGUGUGUCUGCCUGUCCAUCUAUCCGUCUGUUGUCCAUCUCUCCAUCUAUCUGUCUGUCUGUCUGCCUGUCCAUGUGUGUCUGUCUCUCAUCUGUCCGCCUAUCUGCCUGUCUGUGUGUCUGUCCGUCCAUCCGUGUGUCUGCCUGUCCAUCUAUCCAUCUGUUGUCCAUCUCUCCAUCUGUCUGUCUGCCUGUCUGUCUGCACAGCCCCUGACCUCACACUCAGGCUGCGUUUGCAGCAGCCGUUUCCCAUCUAAGCAUCCGUGUCCUCCUUGCUGAGUUGGAGGUAGGAAGUCACAUUGACAUUCUGUGUGUCUGUGAAGGUAAAUAAAAUUAUAGACACAGGAGGAGCAGACCAUCUGCUUCUUAGAGAUAAUGAAA